rnacentral:pre_miRNA from 1 species
AGCCUGUGAUGAUUAUCUCUGAUUGACUGACUCUGGCUCAAUCAGGGAACAUCUGAGGCAAC